rnacentral:rRNA from 1 species
UACGUAGGGGGCGAGCGUUAAUCGGAAUACUGGGCGUAAAGCGUGCGCAGGCGGUCAUGCAAGACAGAUGUGAAAUCCCCAGGCUCAACCUGGGAAUGGCAUCCGAUACUGGAGGGCUUGAAUCCGGGAGAGGGAUGCAGAAUUCCAGGUGUAGCGGUGAAAUGCGUAGAUAUCUGGAGGAAUACCGGUGGCGAAGGCGGCAUCCUGGACCGGCAUUGGCGCUGAGGAGCGAAAGCUAGGGGAGCGAAACGGG